ACACGACUACAUUAGAUACCCGUGUAGUCCUAGCCGUAAACGAUACUCGCUAGGUGUCGGCCACGGUGCGACCGUUGUCGGUGCCGUAGGGAAGCCGUGAAGCGAGCCACCUGGGAAGUACGGCCGCAAGGCUAGAAACUUAAAGGAAUUGGCGGGGGAGCACAACAACGGGUGGAGCUUGCGGUUUAAUUGGAUUCAACGCCGGAAAUCUUACCGGGACCGACAGCAACAUGAAGGCCAAGCUGAAGACUUUGCCGGAUUAGCUG
rnacentral:rRNA from 1 species